AUAGAUAUGGUAGGAGAGCGUUCUGUAAGCCUGCGAAGGUGUCUUGUAAAGGAUGCUGGAGGUAUCAGAAGUGCGAAUGCUGACAUGAGUAGCGAUAAUGGGGGUGAAAAGCCUCCACGCCGUAAGCCCAAGGUUUCCUGUUCAACGUUCAUCGGAGCAGGGUGAGUCGGCCCCUAAGGCGAGGCAGAGAUGCGUAGCUGAUGGGAAGCAGGUUAAUAUUCCUGCACCGUCGUAUGAUGCGAUGGGGGGACGGAUCGCGGAAGGUUGUCUGACUGUUGGAAUAGUCAGUUUCUGUCUCAUAGAAGGCGCUUAGGCAAAUCCGGGCGCGGAAUUCAAGGGGAUGGGACGAGUGAAUUUAUUCACGAAGCAAUCGGAAGUGGUUCCAAGAAAAGCCUCUAAGCUUCAGUCAUACGAGACCGUACCGCAAACCGACACAGGUGGGCGAGAUGAGUAUUCUAAGGCGCUUGAGAGAACUCGGGAGAAGGAACUCGGCAAAUUGGUACCGUAACUUCGGGAAAAGGUACGCCCCGGUAGCUUGAUUGGUUUACUCCAUGAGGGUGAAAGGGUUGCAAUAAACUGGUGGCUGCGACUGUUUAAUAAAAACACAGCACUCUGCAAACACGAAAGUGGACGUAUAGGGUGUGACGCCUGCCCGGUGCUGGAAGAUUAAAUGAUGGGGUGCAAGCUCUUGAUUGAAGUCCCAGUAAACGGCGGCCGUAACUAUAACGGUCCUAAGGUAGCGAAAUUCCUUGUCGGGUAAGUUCCGACCUGCACGAAUGGCGUAACGAUGGCCACACUGUCUCCUCCCGAGACUCAGCGAAGUUGAAAUGUUUGUGAUGAUGCAAUCUACCCGCGGCUAGACGGAAAGACCCCAUGAACCUUUACUGUAGCUUUGCAUUGGACUUUGAACCAAUCUGUGUAGGAUAGGUGGGAGGCUUUGAAGCGGGGACGCUAGUUCUCGUGGAGCCAACCUUGAAAUACCACCCUGGUUUGUUUGAGGUUCUAACCUUGGUCCGUUAUCCGGAUCGGGGACAGUGCAUGGUAGGCAGUUUGACUGGGGCGGUCUCCUCCUAAAGUGUAACGGAGGAGUUCGAAGGUACGCUAGAUACGGUCGGACAUCGUGUUGAUAGUGCAAUGGCAUAAGCGUGCUUAACUGCGAGACUGACAAGUCGAGCAGGUACGAAAGUAGGACAUAGUGAUCCGGUGGUUCUGUAUGGAAGGGCCAUCGCUCAACGGAUAAAAGGUACUCUGGGGAUAACAGGCUGAUUCCUCCCAAGAGUUCAUAUCGACGGGGGAGUUUGGCACCUCGAUGUCGGCUCAUCACAUCCUGGGGCUGUAGCCGGUCCCAAGGGUAUGGCUGUUCGCCAUUUAAAGUGGUACGUGAGCUGGGUUUAAAACGUCGUGAGACAGUUUGGUCCCUAUCUGCCGUGGGCGUUGGAAAUUUGAAGGGGGCUGCUCCUAGUACGAGAGGACCGGAGUGGACGAACCUCUGGUGUACCGGUUGUCACGCCAGUGGCAUUGCCGGGUAGCUAAGUUCGGAAGAGAUAACCGCUGAAAGCAUCUAAGCGGGAAACUUGCCUUGAGAUGAGAUUUCCCAGAGCCUUGAGCUCUUUGAAGGGUCGUUCGAGACCAGGACGUUGAUAGGCUGGGUGUGGAAGUGCAGUAAUGCAUUAAGCUAACCAGUACUAAUUGCCCGUACGGCUUGUCCCUAUAACCUUAGCAGGU
rnacentral:rRNA from 1 species